rnacentral:rRNA from 1 species
AUUGAACGCUGGCGGCAUGCCUUACACAUGCAAGUCGAACGGUAACAGGUCUUCAGAUGCUGACGAGUGGCGAACGGGUGAGUAAUGCAUCGGAACGUGCCCAGUAGUGGGGGAUAGCCCGGCGAAAGCCGGAUUAAUACCGCAUACGACCUGAGGGUGAAAGGGGGGGAUCGCAAGACCUCGCGCGAUUGGAGCGGCCGAUAUCAGAUUAGCUAGUUGGUGGGGUAAAAGCCCACCAAGGCGACGAUCUGUAGCUGGUCUGAGAGGACGACCAGCCACACUGGGACUGAGACACGGCCCAGACUCCUACGGGAGGCAGCAGUGGGGAAUUUUGGACAAUGGACGCAAGUCUGAUCCAGCCAUGCCGCGUGCGGGAAGAAGGCCUUCGGGUUGUAAACCGCUUUUGUCAGGGAAGAAACGAGUUUCUCUAAUACAGAGACUUAAUGACGGUACCUGAAGAAUAAGCACCGGCUAACUACGUGCCAGCAGCCGCCGUAAUAC